rnacentral:ncRNA from 1 species
AUUGCAAUUAUUUCCCUUGAACGAGGAAUUCCCAGUAAGCGCGAGUCAUUAGCUCGCGUUGAUUACGUCCCUGCCCUUUGUACACACCGCCCGUUCGCUACUACCGAUUGAAUGGUUUAGUGAGGUCCUCCGAUUGGACCCGGUCCGGGCGGCGACGUCCGAGCCGGCGUCCGAGAAGACGAUCUAACUUGAUCAUUUAGAGGAAGUAAAAGUCGUAACAAGGUUUCCGUAGGUGAACCUGCGGAAGGAUCAUUA